rnacentral:lncRNA from 1 species
GUCAAUUUGUUUGAAUAAGUGUGUGAAAACGGUAUUGCACUAAUCAAUAAAUAUACAUUAGAAAUCUAGAAACUUCUCUUUGAAAAUUUUUUCUUCUUCUUCAGAUGAAUAAUCGAACCCCUGUGGCCGUCUUUGUUAAAGACCCCUAUCUCUUGGUCGCUAAUUAAGUCCUCGAUCAAAAUUACCUCUCUGGUCAAAAUUAAAUUGGGGGUCAAAAUGAAACACUUGGUCAAAAUUAUCAUACCCUCGUUCAUUCCCAGAGUCGUCAUUAUUUUCCCAUUCUUUGAACUCGAGAUGGCUUUCUCUCUACUACUCCAAAUUCCUCAUAGCUAUCCUUGGUCGACCAUCUUUAUCGGUACAUUCUACGUCACCAUCGCCAAAAGCACCUGCCGACUGCCGCCUUCAUCUCGACAUCCACCCCUAUUUCUUCAUUUAUAGAACCACAAGGGAGCAGUGUUGCAAGGGUAGCGAUUCUCUGCGCAUAAGGUGGUUCCGCCUUGAAGUCCCCCUGUUGGUGAUCGAGAUCGAUCAUCUUCAAGGGGUCGAUGUCUCUUUCCCAUGUCUGGGUCGACCUGAGGCUAGGUUAUAGGGGGUAGUACCCUUCUUGCGACAAUCCCAGGAUUUUGUACAUCCAGGUUAGUAACUCCAUCAUCUCCAAAACCCAUGUUGUCAACCCUCUGUCCCUCUUCCUGUCAGCUUGGCCGUUUUGCUAUGUCUCCCCGCCUCUUCUCAACUAUUAAUGCAGUCAACACUGCGUGAUGUUGUGAAGAGUUUCAUUCAUCCCUUCUUGUCACUGCUUAAUCUUUUCAAACCUCAGUUCGUUGUCGAUGGUUUGUCUUCCACUUGAACCGUCAUCAGCCAUCAGAUUGAAUGAAAUCCUUGCUCUAAUAUCAAUUUUGAUGCGGAAGCUUGUUCAAAAUUCUUGUAUUAAGAAUUGAGAUAAGAAAAUAUAGGAAUAAUUUGCUUGUAUUGAUUCAAU